GAGCGCUAACGUCUUUCUGUGUCCCCGCGGUGGUGAUGACGGUGAAAACUGAGGCUGCUAAGGGCACCCUCACUUACUCCAGGAUGAGGGGCAUGGUGGCAGUUCUCAUCGCUUUCAUGAAGCAGAGGAGGAUGGGUCUGAACGACUUUAUUCAGAAGAUUGCCAAUAACUCCUAUGCAUGCAAACACCCUGAAGUUCAGUCCAUCUUGAAAAUCUCCCAACCUCAGGAGCCUGAGCUUAUGAAUGCCAACCCUUCUCCUCCACCAAGUCCUUCUCAGCAAAUCAACCUUGGCCCGUCGUCCAAUCCUCAUGCUAAACCAUCUGACUUUCACUUCUUGAAAGUGAUCGGAAAGGGCAGUUUUGGAAAGGUUCUUCUAGCAAGACACAAGGCAGAAGAAGUGUUCUAUGCAGUCAAAGUUUUACAGAAGAAAGCAAUCCUGAAAAAGAAAGAGGAGAAGCAUAUUAUGUCGGAGCGGAAUGUUCUGUUGAAGAAUGUGAAGCACCCUUUCCUGGUGGGCCUUCACUUCUCUUUCCAGACUGCUGACAAAUUGUACUUUGUCCUAGACUACAUUAAUGGUGGAGAGUUGUUCUACCAUCUCCAGAGGGAACGCUGCUUCCUGGAACCACGGGCUCGUUUCUAUGCUGCUGAAAUAGCCAGUGCCUUGGGCUACCUGCAUUCACUGAACAUCGUUUAUAGAGACUUAAAACCAGAGAAUAUUUUGCUAGAUUCACAGGGACACAUUGUCCUUACUGACUUCGGACUCUGCAAGGAGAACAUUGAACACAACAGCACAACAUCCACCUUCUGUGGCACGCCGGAGUAUCUCGCACCUGAGGUGCUUCAUAAGCAGCCUUAUGACAGGACCGUGGACUGGUGGUGCCUGGGAGCCGUCUUGUAUGAGAUGCUGUAUGGCCUGCCUCCUUUUUAUAGCCGAAACACAGCUGAAAUGUAUGACAACAUUCUGAACAAGCCCCUCCAGUUGAAACCAAAUAUUACAAAUUCCGCAAGACACCUCCUGGAGGGCCUCCUGCAGAAGGACAGGACAAAGCGGCUCGGGGCCAAGGAUGACUUUGUGAGUGAUGUUUUCCUGUUCUCCUGGGCCAGCUGGGACGUGCACUAGACCUCCCUGCCCUUAUUGAAUGCACCUGUCUAAAUUAAUCUUGGGUUUCUUAUCAACAGAUGGAGAUUAAGAGUCAUGUCUUCUUCUCCCUAAUUAACUGGGAUGAUCUCAUUAAUAAGAAGAUUACUCCCCCUUUUAACCCAAAUGUGAGUGGGCCCAACGACCUGCGGCACUUUGACCCUGAGUUUACCGAAGAGCCUGUCCCCAACUCCAUUGGCAAGUCCCCUGACAGCGUCCUCGUCACAGCCAGCGUCAAGGAAGCUGCCGAGGCUUUCCUAGGCUUUUCCUAUGCGCCUCCCACGGACUCUUUCCUCUGAACACUGUUAGGGCUUGGUUUUAAAGGAUUUUAUGUGUGUUUCUGAAUGUUUUAGUUAGCCUUUUGGUGGAGCCGCCAGCCGACAGGACAUCUUACAAGAGAAUUUGCACAUCUCUGGAAGCUUAGCAAUCUUAUUGCACACUGUUCGCUGGAAGCUUUUUGAAGAGCACAUUCUCCUCAGUGAGCUCAUGAGGUUUUCAUUUUUAUUCUUCCUUCCAACGUGGUGCUAUCUCUGAAACGAGCGUUAGAGUGCCGCCUAGACAGAGGCAGGAGUUUCGUUAGAAAGCGGACGCUGUUCUAAAAAAGGUCUCCUGCAGAUCUGUCUGGGCUGUGAUGACGAAUAUUAUGAAAUGUGCCUUUUCUGAAGAGAUUGUGUUAGCUCCAAAGCUUUUCCUAUCGCAGUGUUUCAGUUCAUUUUCCCUCGUGGAUAUGCUGUGUGAACCAUCGUGUGAGUGUGGUAUGCCUGAUCACAGAUGGAUUUUGUUAUAAGCAUCAAUGUGACACUUGCAGGACACUACAACGUGGGACAUUGUUUGUUUCUUCCAUAUUUGGAAGAUAAAUUUAUGUGUAGACUUUUUUGUAAGAUAUGGUUAAUAACUAAAAUUUAUUGAAAUGGUCUUGCAAUGACUCGUAUUCAGAUGCUUAAAGAAAGCAUUGCUGCUACAAAUAUUUCUAUUUUUAGAAAGGGUUUUUAUGGACCAAUGCCCCAGUUGUCAGUCAGAGCCGUUGGUGUUUUUCAUUGUUUAAAAUGUCACCUGUAAAAUGGGCAUUAUUUAUGUUUUUUUUUUUUGCAUUCCUGAUAAUUGUAUGUAUUGUAUAAAGAACGUCUGUACAUUGGGUUAUAACACUAGUAUAUUUAAACUUACAGGCUUAUUUGUAAUGUAAACCACCAUUUUAAUGUACUGUAAUUAACAUGGUUAUAAUACGUACAAUCCUUCCCUCAUCCCAUCACACAACUUUUUUUGUGUGUGAUGAACUGAUU
rnacentral:sRNA from 1 species